rnacentral:rRNA from 1 species
UACGUAGGGGGCUAGCGUUGUUCGGAUUUACUGGGCGUAAAGCGCACGUAGGCGGAUCGAUCAGUCAGGGGUGAAAUCCCAGAGCUCAACUCUGGAACUGCCUUUGAUACUGUCGAUCUGGAGUAUGGAAGAGGUGAGUGGAAUUCCGAGUGUAGAGGUGAAAUUCGUAGAUAUUCGGAGGAACACCAGUGGCGAAGGCGGCUCACUGGACCGGUACUGACGCUGAGGCGCGAAAGCGUGGGGAGCAAACAGG